GUGGGGAAUUUUGGACAAUGGGCGCAAGCCUGAUCCAGCAAUGCCGCGUGCAGGAAGAAGGCCUUCGGGUUGUAAACUGCUUUUGUACGGAACGAAACGGUCCUGGCUAAUACCUGGGGCUAAUGACGGUACCGUAAGAAUAAGCACCGGAUAACUACGUGCCAGCAGCCGCGGUAAUACGUAGGGUGCGAGCGUUAAUCGGAAUUACUGGGCGUAAAGCGUGCGCAGGCGGUGCUGUAAGACAGGCGUGAAAUCCCCGGGCUCAACCUGGGAAUUGCGCUUGUGACUGCAGUGCUGGAGUGCGGCAGAGGGGGAUGGAAUUCCGCGUGUAGCAGUGAAAUGCGUAGAUAUGCGGAGGAACACCGAUGGCGAAGGCAAUCCCCUGGGCCUGCACUGACGCUCAUGCACGAAAGCGUGGGGAGCAAACAGGAUUAGAAACCCGUGUAGUCC
rnacentral:rRNA from 1 species